rnacentral:rRNA from 1 species
GACGAACGCUGGCGGCGUGCUUAACACAUGCAAGUCGAACGCUGAAGCUCAGCUUUUGUUGGGUGGAUGAGUGGCGAACGGGUGAGUAACACGUGAGUAACCUGCCUCCUUCUUUGGGAUAACGCCCGGAAACGGGUGCUAAUACUGGAUAUUCACUGGUCUUCGCAUGGGGGUUGGUGGAAAGGGUUUUUCUGGUGGGGGUUGGGCUCGCGGCCUAUCAGCUUGUUGGUGGGGUGAUGGCCUACCAAGGCUUUGACGGGUAGCCGGCCUGAGAGGGUGACCGGUCACAUUGGGACUGAGAUACGGCCCAGACUCCUACGGGAGGCAGCAGUGGGGAAUAUUGCACAAUGGGCGCAAGCCUGAUGCAGCGACGCCGCGUGAGGGAUGGAGGCCUUCGGGUUGUGAACCUCUUUCGCUCAUGGUCAAGCCGCAACAAUGGUUGUGGUGAGGGUAGUGGGUAAAGAAGCGCCGGCUAACUACGUG